AAAAUGACUUUUUAAGUUUUAAGCGCGUCCAAAACGCUGGAGGAAAAGUAUUCCGCUGUAAACGGGUAGAGAGAUUCCUUUGCGGUGAAUUUUUUUUCAUACCAUACACAGCGCCGAAAACGACAGCGCGUGGAUGAACUCAAGUCAAUUAGUUGGAAACAACGGAAGCAGCAAGAGAGAGCAUGAUGUACCCUUUGUGUGCGAGUCGUAGUAGAAGGCAUACAGUCCAGUCCCACUCAAGCCGUUCUCCAUCUCUCAGGCGGAGCCUCUCAGGUACCUUCACAUACAUACACACAUAUACAUGCAGAUUACUCAUGUUUUGCUCACUUUUGAGGUCACAUAAACUGUUUGAUGGAUUGUCUAAAUGAAGUGAGUGGGGAACUUGGGUGGUUAAUGUCUUUGCCAGGAGCCUCAAACAUAGUUUUGGAAUCUGUUUAAUGUUAUUAUGUUUUUUAAGGCAAACUGUGGAGGACAUGGCAUAGUUGGUUUAUGUUGUGCAUGUGGCUCAUGUUGAGUAGAACACAGGCUCUGGAUCAAAUGGAUCGAUACCGACGCGGAGUGGAGUGGAGUGAGACGAGCAGAGCGCAUUGAACAGAACGGAGCGGAGCGUCGGCAUCGGCUUUGCGCGGGUUUAAUUCACUAUCUGGUUGUUAGGGACGUUGAAUGGGUUGGGGGUGCGGGGGCAACGCCCCGCGGUACGGUACAGGGGUAUUUUCUGUACGGACCUUAAAGUUUUAUAUGAGCUCAAAUUAGGAUUAGUAUAAAUAAUAUGUUGUAACCCUAUUUUUCACAACUGAAUAAAGAAAUUUCCACUUCGCUCUCGUGGACGUAGGCACAUCGCCGAAUCACGUAAAAUUCUUGUGUUGAUUUUCGUUUUUCAUCUCUUUAAUAUUGCGCAUAAAAUCCAACAGCUUAUAAUAUAGCUCUAAAGCUUUCCCAGCCGGGUUCUUUUCCGUAACAACUAAAAAUCUGAACUUCCUUGGUUUUAAUAUCAUGUCUACACAAAAUUGUUUUAAAUGAUUUUGAUUUAUUUUUUUAUUUUAAUUUAUUUUUUUCAUAUUGGGUUUGAAUUUUAAAGAUUGUGUUUCUCAUCUUUCUUUCUCCUUUUACUUGUACGGUUGUUUGGAAAUGUGGUGUUAGUUAUUAAUUAUUUCAAACGCAUUAUUAUGUCUGAACUUUGUUCAGAUGUGCACGAAAUGAAAAUAAUAAAUUGAUAGACUUGUAACUAAAUCAAAUUUCAGGAAUUACUAGUCCUAUUUAUAACCAUAUGAUAAAGAUUUAUGAUCAUUAUAAUUCUAAUUCUAUAACUGUCCUUCUCAUGCUUUGCAUUGGACUAAUUUUCUCCUAUAACAUAUAUAAGAUUACAUUUUGAAGUGUGCUGGUCGGAUCUUCGGGAUCAGAAUUAAACAAGUCCAGUCAAAUUUAGGUUGGGUUUCAAUGAGUUCUAGUUUCAAAACUCUACUGUGUUGCCAUAUACAUAGAGAACUUAACAUUCAAUCUGUAAUUGGUGGUCAUGAUGAAAAUCCAUAACUGAUCCAUUUUAAAAAGAAAAAUUCCCUUUCAGUUAUCUGUUGUGUCAUCCCUUCUUAAUUCAUGUUUAUGUAAGUGGGAGUGAAGUCAUAAUUCACGUUUCCAGAAUGCAUGUUUUCCCUCCUUUUUUUAGAAGUCCUGGGGAUCUAAAAAGUUAAAGCACCCUUUUUGUCAGUUGAUAUGGAUGGAUGGUAGGAUGGACGGAUGGAGGGGCAAAGACUAGGAGAUUGCAAAAUGCAAAUAAGUAUAUUGCUUGUUAUAAAUUAAAGGAAUAAUCCAUAUUAUUGAGGACAAUUAAUAAUGUUAAAUAAGAAAAAUUAAAACAAGAAAAAUACAUGAUUUAAGGUGAUUCACUCUCAUUGUGAGAGCUACGUGCAUCUGGUACUAUUAUAGAGAAUUACAAUGUGUUUUUGGACUCAUGCAUCUUCGUUUUUUAUCUACCAUGACACAUAGAAUAGAGGCUUAAUACUAAUAAAAAAGAAUAUAUUGAGGUGACCUAAUACACAUGCCAUUUUCCCAAAGUACCUUGUGAGACUUAUAAAUAUUCACUACAAAGAUCCCACCCCCACACACUAGGGGGUAUACUGCCCCCCAAACCCGCAUCAACGUACCAUGAAGGUCCAAUUGUGCCGAGGGAAAGAGAGCAAUAUAUUAGGCUCUACACGUUAAAUAUAGCUUAGCACAAAAGGGUCUGUUGUAGUUAACAUCAGCUGAAGUGUUGCUUGCUUGAUCCAUACUUUGGAUUACACAAGAUCUAGAGAACAAUUUAUAGUGUUCACCAUCAAAUCAAAGGUUCUUGAUUACAAAUUCUACUGAAGUGUGGUAAAUUAUUCUACCGAUUAGGAAAUCCUGAGAUAUCAGGCCCUGGAGUCAAUACUAAACUAAUCCAUAAGUGCUGUUCUUUUGUCAAGCACAACCUGGUUUCAACCCAUGUUUUAUUUUAUUGGCAUAACUUUCUAAUUUCCCUAUGAAUCUUGUCAAAUAUACUCAAUAAGACUCGAUGCCCCUCAAUGUGAGAUGUUCUCUCAUUAUACAGAACCAAAUCAAAAUUAAAUAUGGUAAAAACAAUCUAUCUAUAUUUGGUACAAUUAUAAUAAGAAGCCCAAAAGGCCCAAAAAUUAAAACAAAAAAGGCCCAAUUACAACACUUCUCCUUCUUCCCUCAACCUGCAACAGCGACUUUCUCGCUCUGUAACAAUGGUGGCAGCGAAGUCCACCAGUUUCCUCCCCCAGCCGUGUCCAAUUGAAAUUUGUCCUGUCCGUCCUGUAUUUUAUACCCGUUCCCGUGUCAUGUCGUGUCAACACGGGUAUGCUGGUCAAAAGAAAGGUCUGAGGAUCACAUGAAUCAAUAUGGUUUUAGGAUGGACUGGAAGGACAAUACCAUCGGCAGCUGUACUUGAAUAGUUUCAUGAUCACUAAAAGGUGAAAAAUCCCAAAGCUCAAUAUCACCAGCACUCUCCCCCUGAAUUGAACUAUGGUAGCAUGUGUAUCUUCAAAAAGGUUGACAUCCAUUAUAAUGAGAAGCUUCCUAGUUUUAGGACAGAAACACUUAAAAAAACCUUUUUAACAUGGUGAGUAGCCCAAGAAAAUGCAUUUUAUUGCUCUAGGAUCUAGCUUAGUUUUCGGCAAGGAAUGAACAUAAACUAUGCGUCCAAAGACUUUAACUGGGAGAUUUGAAAAAGUCUAUUGUGUGGGAAAAACUAGAGAAACGUUUGGAGUGGAGUUUUAAACUGAAGGACACUAGAUGGAAGCCGAUUUAUGAGAGCUUCCCCCCAAAAAUUCUUUUGCACAUUAUUAGUAAACAAUAGGCUCUAGCAACUUCUAGGAUAUGUUUGUUUUUUCGUUCAGCAAUACCAUUUUGUUGGGAGGUGCCUACCCGUGUUUGAUGAACAAUCCCAUGAUUACUAAGGUCUACUCCUAGGAUUUGGUUAAAGUAUUCUCGGCCAUUAUAUGUAGGAUUUGAAUUUGAGUUUGGGAUUGGGUUUCAGUCAUUUGGUGGACGUUCUGAAAAAUUUGUGCCGUUUCAGAUUUUUCUUUUAAAACGAAUGCCCAACAAACUCUAGUAUGGUCAUCAAUGAAAAUAAUUCUUUUUGCUUUGAUUGGUCCCCUAAUAUCACUGGGAAACAUCGAAAAUGGUAGAGACUCUGUAUGGCCAUGUAGGAUAAGAACUCUUUUAAAUCCCAUCCAUACCUUAAAUUUAGUCCUGAUCCUCAUAUGUCUACUCAAUCUUAUCAUUAGCAUGCGACAUGCAGCUGGAAGCUCAUUUUUCCUUGGUUUUAAUAAGAAUAUGAUUAUUCCAUCCAAGUCAGUAACACGUUUCCAUUUAAAUUUACUUAAAAGAGUCGUUUGCAGUACUUUCCUUAUUUGCGUUUCUAUUUAACUUAUAUAAUUCAAUUUUUUCCAAGUGUCUAACGUGUAAUUUUGAGACGAACUAUUCUAAUUUUAAAUGGAAAAGAUUUAUUUAUUUAUUUAUUUUGGUCAUAUAUCUUACUGUUUUAAUCAUAAUGCUUUUGUUCUGGACUCAUAAACAUUCUACUUGUGCCGUUGAGAAGCAUCUGCAAUCUCUGAAGUUUUGCAUUUGUUCCAUGCAGCAUUCUUGGUGAUGGAUACCCGUACUUUGAAUUGUUAGCAGUGAAUACGGAUAAAUCUCCAUUAACAGUGUCCCAAAUUAAAGAACGUGUUACGCAGUUUGAAAAAGUUGGCAAGCAUAAAUUUCUAUCCUUUACAACUUGCAAAGGAUAAGAUAAUUUCAGUGCAACUUUUUUGCUUCCAAAUAUGGUUUCCGGAAUGUUUGAAACAAAACUCCGGACUAGCUUUUAUUCAAUUUAAUAAUCCUUGC
rnacentral:lncRNA from 1 species